UACGAAGGGUGCUAGCGUUGUUCGGAAUUACUGGGCGUAAAGCGCGCGUAGGCGGCGACUCAAGUCAGGGGUGAAAUCCCAGAGCUCAACUCUGGAAUUGCCUUUGAAACUGUGUCGCUAGAGUGUCGGAGGGGAUAGCGGAAUUGCUAAUGUAGAGGUGAAAUUCGUAGAUAUUAGCAGGAACACCGGUGGCGAAGGCGGCUAUCUGGACGACAACUGACGCUGAGGCGCGAAAGCGUGGGGAUCAAACAGG
rnacentral:rRNA from 1 species